rnacentral:rRNA from 1 species
CCUACGGGAGGCAGCAGUGAGGAAUAUUGGUCAAUGGCCGGAAGGCUGAACCAGCCAUGCCGCGUGAAGGUCAGUGCCCUAUGGGCGUUAAACUUCUUUUGUGCGGGAGCAAUAAUGGUCACGUGUGGCCAGACGAGAGUACCGUACGAAUAAGCAUCGGCGAACUCCGUGCCAGCAGCCGCGGUAAUACGGGGGCUGCAAGCGUUUUCCGGAUUUUUUGGGUUUAAAAGGUGCGUAGGCGGGGAGGUCAGUCAGCGGGGCAAUGCCGCGGCUCAACGGGGUGAAGUGCCAUUGAUACUGCCUUGCUGGAGUGCGGAUGCCGUGGGAGGAAUGUGUGGUGUAGCGGUGAAAUGCAUAGAAAUCACACAGAACACCGAUUGCGAAGGCAGCUCACGAAUCCGCGAUUGACGCUGAUGCACGAAAGCGUGGGUAUCAAACAGGAUUAGAUACCCUAGUAGUC